GACGAACGCUGGCGGCGUGCCUAAUACAUGCAAGUCGAGCGCAGGAAAUCGACGGAACCCUUCGGGGGGAAGUCGACGGAAUGAGCGGCGGACGGGUGAGUAACACGUAAAGAACCUGCCCUCAGGUCUGGGAUAACCACGAGAAAUCGGGGCUAAUACCGGAUGGGUCAUCGGACCGCAUGGUCCGAGGAUGAAAGGCGCUCCGGCGUCGCCUGGGGAUGGCUUUGCGGUGCAUUAGCUAGUUGGUGGGGUAAUGGCCCACCAAGGCGACGAUGCAUAGCCGACCUGAGAGGGUGAUCGGCCACACUGGGACUGAGACACGGCCCAGACUCCUACGGGAGGCAGCAGUAGGUAAUCUUCCACAAUGGACGAAAGUCUGAUGGAGCAACGCCGCGUGAACGAUGAAGGCCUUCGGGUCGUAAAGUUCUGUUGCAAGGGAAGAACAAGUGCCGCAGGCAAUGGCGGCACCUUGACGGUACCUUGCGAGAAAGCCACGGCUAACUACGUGCCAGCAGCCGCGGUAACAC
rnacentral:rRNA from 1 species